CAAUCCAGGUUUAUCGUUGCGAACCGACAGAG
rnacentral:scRNA from 1 species